rnacentral:rRNA from 1 species
UCCCCUANNNCUGCGAGUGAAGCGGGAAAAGCUCAAAUUUAAAAUCUGGCGGUCUUGGGCCGUCCGAGUUGUAAUCUAGAGAAGUGUUAUCCGCGCUGGACCGUGUACAAGUCUCCUGGAAUGGAGCGUCAUAGAGGGUGAGAAUCCCGUCUUUGACACGGACUACCAGGGCUUUGUGAUGCGCUCUCAAAGAGUCGAGUUGUUUGGGAAUGCAGCUCAAAAUGGGUGGUAAAUUCCAUCUAAAGCUAAAUAUUGGCGAGAGACCGAUAGCGAACAAGUACCGUGAGGGAAAGAUGAAAAGAACUUUGGAAAGAGAGUUAAACAGUACGUGAAAUUGCUGAAAGGGAAACGCUUGAAGUCAGUCGCGUUGUCCAGGGAUCAACCUUGCUUUUGCUUGGCGUACUUCCUGGUUGACGGGUCAGCAUCAAUUUUGACCGUUGGAAAAAGUUCAAAGGAAUGUGGCAUCCUUCUGGAUGUGUUAUAGCCCUUGAUCGUAUACAACGGUUGGGAUUGAGGAACUCAGCACGCCGAAAGGCCGGGCUUUUAGCCACGUUCGUGCUUAGGAUGCUGGCAUAAUGGCUUUAAUCGACCCGUCUUGAAACACGGACCAAGGAGUCUAACAUGCCUGCGAGUGUUUGGGUGGAAAACCCGAGCGCGCAAUGAAAGUGAAAGUUGAGAUCCCUGUCGUGGGGAGCAUCGACGCCCGGACCAGACCUUUUGUGACGGAUCCGCGGUAGAGCAUGUAUGUUGGGACCCGAAAGAUGGUGAACUAUGCCUGAAUAGGGUGAAGCCAGAGGAAACUCUGGUGGAGGCUCGUAGCGAUUCUGACG